GCUUGGACCUGCAAGUUAAAUCCUGUUAGCAUUGCAUUGAAAGUGAAUCUUUCAAACAUGGUAAGGAGCGUCACAUUUCUACAUUUCUGGCUGGCGUCAGAAGUAUUCAGGCCAAUCACAACGUACAGUUUAGCUGGCCAAUCAGGGACACAGUGCUUUUUAAAUCAAUGAGUUUUGUACAAAAUCAGUGCGAUUCAGGAAGAAAGGGAAAUCUGGAGCUACAAAAAUGUACGGUAUGGGGAAAAUAAUGUGACGCAAACACGUUGUAUUAUACCAAAUACACAAAAUAGUGUUGUUUUUUUAUCAAUGAAAUAGUUGCACUAGACUAACUUGCAUUUUGAUGCCGUUGGUUUAUACUGACUCAUGUAAAUCCAGGAGCUACACCAAGGAUGCCACCCAUCUUUCCCUUUUUGUUGUCAUGGCAACCAACACAUUCAACACCAGCCGCCGUUCAACCCUCUUUUUAGGCUAAUCUAAGGACAACCAAAAUUGAUGAACAUUUUGGAUGACAUCUGCCUAAAUAUGACUCCUCCAAUUCUGCACUGAAACGAGUGCUUUGUCAGUUCAAUUCAAAUCAUUGAGAAGAUAAACCACCAAUCUUGAAACUCAACGGGAAUGAGGACCAAACAUACUGAAUAUAGAUGUCUGUCCAAUAAAAGCCAUUAUAGACUGAGGAUGAUGACCCCCCCCCCAAAUGCCACCUGCCACCAACCAGCAAGUGGAAAGUGAUGUAUUACCAGACUAUUGAAUAUUUGAAAUGAGGACAAAUGACAAGCAAAUGAGAAAUUACAGCCUAUGAGAUCUUAAGGUUAACAGAAUUUACCCUUCACAAUGCUGGUAAAUGUGUUCCUGCAGAUCAACUGUGUUCGCAGUGCAAAGACUAACACACAUACUAAAAUAUAUUGCUGGAAUGAACUUUAAGCUUAUUGCCAAACGCUUAAAUAAGAUUUUCUUCAAGCAGCAGAACAUUGGAUUAAUGGCUUUAAUAGCAAAUUAAAGAGAAUCUAAUGGUAGGGGGUAUAAUUACUAUUGUUGUCAUUUGCCACAAGAGACCAUGCAGCAGUUGCAGACAGACUAACAGUGGAAAGCGAGAAAAAACAAAACAGCGAAGCCACCCUCCUGUGGAGCUUGUCUGGAAGAAGCUUCUCUACACCUCUGCAGACCUUCAACCACAGUGGA